rnacentral:rRNA from 1 species
UACGGAGGGUGCAAGCGUUGUCCGGAAUCACUGGGCGUAAAGGGCGCGUAGGCGGCUCAUGAAGGCGGUGGUGAAAGUCCGGGGCUCAACCUCGGAUCGGCCGCGGCGACUCAUGGGCUGGAGCACUGUAGAGGCGGGUGGAAUUCCGGGUGUAGCGGUGGAAUGCGUAGAGAUCCGGAAGAACACCAGUGGCGAAGGCGACUUCCUGGCCUGUUCUUGACGCUGAGGCGCGAAAGC